rnacentral:rRNA from 1 species
GGACCAGGGAGUCUAGCAUGUUUGCAAGUCGUUGAGUAUUUAAUUUAUACUCAAAGGCGUAAUUAAUGUAAAGGUAUCUUGUAUGACGUACACCCCAUACUUUGUUAUGGUAAAGUGUGCCCAUGCAGUACCGAGGGAAGAUAAGUUUUGAUAUAUGUGAAAUCGCUUCGCAUUCCCGGGGCGUUCUAUAUUUAUUAUUAACUCAAUAAAAAUUUUAUUUUUAUUGAGAUGGAGCGCACCAAGAGCAUACACGCUGGGACCCGAAAGAUGGUGAACUAUGC